rnacentral:rRNA from 1 species
CCGGGACAGGCCCUAGCGUGUGCCUGGAGAUUAGAGUUUGAUCCUGGCUCAGAAUGAACGCUGGCGGCGUGCUUAACACAUGCAAGUCGCACGAGAACGUUUCAGCUUGCUGAAACUAGUAAAGUGGCGCACGGGUGAGUAACGCGUGGGUAAUCUACCUCCGAAUUGGGGAUAACAUUGCGAAAGCGAUGCUAAUACCGAAUGACAUCUCAAUCACUUCGGUCUUUGAGAUCAAAGGUGGCCUCUGCAUGGAAGCUACUGUUUGGAGAUGAGCCCGCGUACCAUUAGCUUGUUGGUAGGGUAAUGGCCUACCAAGGCGACGAUGGUUAGCUGGUCUGAGAGGAUGAUCAGCCACACUGGAACUGACACACGGUCCAGACUCCUACGGGAGGCAGCAGUGAGGAAUUUUGCGCAAUGGGGGAAACCCUGACGCAGCAACGCCGCGUGAGUGAUGAAGGCUCUCGGGUCGUAAAGCUCUGUCAAGUGAGAAGAACCUGCCCUUUGCUAAUAUCACUGGGCACUGACGGUAUCACUGAAGGAAGCACCGGCUAACUCCGUGCCAGCAGCCGCGGUAA